rnacentral:rRNA from 1 species
CACGUAGGGGGCAAGCGUUGUCCGGAUUUAUUGGGCGUAAAGAGCUCGUAGGCGGUUCGGUAAGUUGGGUGUGAAACCUCCAGGCUCAACCUGGAGACGCCACCCGAUACUGCUGUGACUAGAGUCCGGUAGGGGAGCGUGGAAUUCCUGGUGUAGCGGUGAAAUACGUAGAUAUCGAGAAGAACACCAAUAGCGAAAGCACUCUGCUGGGCCGAAACUGACAUUGAGAGACGAAAAGCUAGGGGAGCGAAAGGG